rnacentral:rRNA from 1 species
GGGUUGUGAGGUUAAGCGACUAAGCGUACACGGUGGAUGCCCUGGCAGUCAGAGGCGAUGAAGGACGUGCUAAUCUGCGAUAAGCGUCGGUAAGGUGAUAUGAACCGUUAUAACCGGCGAUUUCCGAAUGGGGAAACCCAGUGUGUUUCGACACACUAUCAUUAACUGAAUCCAUAGGUUAAUGAGGCGAACCGGGGGAACUGAAACAUCUAAGUACCCCGAGGAAAAGAAAUCAACCGAGAUUCCCCCAGUAGCGGCGAGCGAACGGGGAGCAGCCCAGAGCCUGAAUCAGUGUGUGUGUUAGUGGAAGCGUCUGGAAAGGCGCGCGAUACAGGGUGACAGCCCCGUACACAAAAAUGCACAUGCUGUGAGCUCGAUGAGUAGGGCGGGACACGUGGUAUCCUGUCUGAAUAUGGGGGGACCAUCCUCCAAGGCUAAAUACUCCUGACUGACCGAUAGUGAACCAGUACCGUGAGGGAAAGGCGAAAAGAACCCCGGCGAGGGGAGUGAAAAAGAACCUGAAACCGUGUACGUACAAGCAGUGGGAGCACGCUUAGGCGUGUGACUGCGUACCUUUUGUAUAAUGGGUCAGCGACUUAUAUUCUGUAGCAAGGUUAACCGAAUAGGGGAGCCGAAGGGAAACCGAGUCUUAACUGGGCGUUAAGUUGCAGGGUAUAGACCCGAAACCCGGUGAUCUAGCCAUGGGCAGGUUGAAGGUUGGGUAACACUAACUGGAGGACCGAACCGACUAAUGUUGAAAAAUUAGCGGAUGACUUGUGGCUGGGGGUGAAAGGCCAAUCAAACCGGGAGAUAGCUGGUUCUCCCCGAAAGCUAUUUAGGUAGCGCCUCGUGAAUUCAUCUCCGGGGGUAGAGCACUGUUUCGGCAAGGGGGUCAUCCCGACUUACCAACCCGAUGCAAACUGCGAAUACCGGAGAAUGUUAUCACGGGAGACACACGGCGGGUGCUAACGUCCGUCGUGAAGAGGGAAACAACCCAGACCGCCAGCUAAGGUCCCAAAGUCAUGGUUAAGUGGGAAACGAUGUGGGAAGGCCCAGACAGCCAGGAUGUUGGCUUAGAAGCAGCCAUCAUUUAAAGAAAGCGUAAUAGCUCACUGGUCGAGUCGGCCUGCGCGGAAGAUGUAACGGGGCUAAACCAUGCACCGAAGCUGCGGCAGCGACGCUGAUGCGUUGUUGGGUAGGGGAGCGUUCUGUAAGCCUGUGAAGGUGU